GAGACCCUAGUAAAUUAAUUACAUAGCCCCGUCAGAGCUAAGUUACAGACAAAAGCCUGUGGGUCUUA
rnacentral:tRNA from 1 species